GACGAACGCUGGCGGCGUGCUUAACACAUGCAAGUCGAGCGGGAACCUCUCGAGGGGUAACCCUUGAGAGGGGAGAGCGGCGAACGGGUGAGUACCACGUGGGCAACCUGCCCCGGACACCGGGAUAACCCAGGGAAACCUGGGCUAAUACCGGAUACUCCGGCGAGAUCGCAUGACCUUGCCGGGAAAGCUCCGACGGUCCGGGAUGGGCCCGCGGCCUAUCAGCUUGUUGGUGGGGUAACGGCCCACCAAGGCGACGACGGGUAGCUGGUCUGAGAGGACGGCCAGCCACACUGGGACUGAGACACGGCCCAGACUCCUACGGGAGGCAGCAGUGGGGAAUCUUGCGCCAAUGCGCGAAAGCGUGACGCAGCGACGCCGCGUGGGGGAUGAAGGCCCUCGGGUCGUAAACCCCUUUCGCCAGGGAAGAAGCGAAAGUGACGGUACCUGGAGAAGAAGUCCCGGCUAACUACGUGCCAGCAGCCGCGGUAACACGUAGGGACGAGCGUUGUCCGGAUUCAUCGGGCGAAAGCGCGCG
rnacentral:rRNA from 1 species